AGGCUCGCCUCAGGUUUUAUUCAGAGAACUAUCAGUGUGGCUUGGCCCAUCUCUUUCUAGUCCCAGAAAGAAUUGCACUGAAAUGCUGAGUUCCUAUAAUGAAAAUGACCAUUUGCUGAGAAUAAUUAACAUACUGAAAGAGAUUUUCUUAAGAGUACACAAUGGUGACAUUAUAUUGUCUCUUUAUAAAUGACUUCCUAUCUAUUUCUGUGAAUUAUUUCUACAGAGUACUUUUCACAUGUCUAAUUUCUUUUCUUCCCCUACGACUACUGUCUGAAUACUGGCUCUGCUGUUCACUGUUAUGACUCUCGGCAAGUUGCCUGCACUUUUUAAACUUUAUUUCCACAUUCAGAACAUGGGGCCAUACAUAAUUCAACUCACUUCUGUGUUAUUGGGGAGUUAAAGAAAAAAUGCAUGGGAAGCAUUUAGCAUAGCACCUGAGACAGUAAUGAACACUCAGUAGAUAUUAGCUUUUGUUAAUAUUGUUGUUAUGUCCAGAAGCACUGUACCUCCAGAAAAUCAUGGGUACUUGCUGGGGACAUUGGGAAUAUGCAUGACUUCAAAAGGUACGACUGCUUUUUUCUCCUUAGGUGAGAAAUUUUUCUGAACUAGACUCUUUCAAACAUUGUAAGAUUCUGUUGUGGAUUCUAGGACUGAAAGAAUUCUUGGCACAGUGUGGUGUCUUAUCCCUGUAAUCCCAGCAUUUUGGGAGGACAAGGCAGGAAGAUUGCUUGAGCCCAGGAGUUCGAAACCAGCCUGGGCAACAUGGCAAAACCCUGUCUCUACAAAAAGUACAUAGAUUAGCUGGGCGUAGCGGUGAGUGCCUGCACUCCCAGAUACUCGGGAGGCUGAGAUGGGAGGAUCACCUGACACUGGGCAGUUUGAAGCUUCAGUAAGCUGUGAUGACACCGCACUAUACUCCACUCCAGCCAGGGCGACAGUGAGAUGCUGCCUCAAAAAAAAUCACAAAAUUAUAUGUCACCACAGUGGAUCCCAAAGACAAUUAUUCAGAAGAUGCAAAUGAUGCACUACUGCUGCAGCUCACAAACACCUCUGCAUAUUACAUGUACCUCCUCCUGCUCGUCAAGAGUGAGGUCUAUUUUGCCAUCAUCGCCGUCUGUCUGCUUAGAAGAACGGCUGUCUGCUGCAAUGGAGAGAGACCCUAACAGACGGUGGCACAAGGACGCCAUCUUUUCCUCAUCGGUUAUUGUCCCUAGAAGUGUCUUCUGAGGAUCUAGUUGGGCUUUCUUUCUGGGUUUGAGCUAUUUCACUUCUCAUGUGUGUACUAUUCUAUCAUUGUUGUAGAAUGGUUUUCAAACCAGUGGGCACACAGAAAACCUCAGUCUGUGAUGACAAUGAGGAAUAGCCAUGGCAGUCUCCAGCACCACUCUCUCCAUAUUCUCCACAGCUCCUCCAGCCAACCCAAAUAGCCACUGCCAUGGUGUAGACAGUCCGCGGCUUCUAGCCUUGUCCCUCCCUUAGUGUUCUUUAAUCAGAUAACUGCCUGGAAGCCUUUCAUUUGACCCGCCCUGAAGCAGCCUUCUUUGCUAGUUGAAUUACAUGGUGUAUUUUCCUAACAGGCAAAAUAAAUUUAAAAUAAUGAAAAGUUGACUUUUGUGCAUGUGUAUUUUAAUUGGAUGAUAUCGAAUUGAAAAUCCAAGGUAAGAAACCUCAUGGCAAUUGGGCU
rnacentral:lncRNA from 1 species